UUUUUUUUUUAUUUACAUUUCAGGUGGUAAGGUGUCAGUAAUCAUGAUAAAUUUGGUGGUAAGGUGCCAGUAAUCAAGGACCAGCUUAGAAUUUGUCGACAAAGUUGGGUGAAUCCAUGUAUGACGUGAGGGUCCUUCGCCACAUUUUAAUGCAGAUUUAUUCCAAUGUAAAUGGUUUUUCAAGCGUGUCUCUUGGAAGGGCUGUUACUCCUGAUGUCUACAAAUUGUUUUUCUAUUUUCAGAUUCAUGAUAAAUUUGGUGGUAAGGUGCCAGUAAUCAAGGACCAGCUUAGAAUUUGUCGACAAAGUUGGGUGAUUCCAUGUAUGACGUGAGGGUCCUUCGCCACAUUUUAAUGCAGAUUUAUUCCAAUGUAAAUGUUAU
rnacentral:misc_RNA from 15 species